rnacentral:rRNA from 1 species
CUUGAGAAUCACCAGGCCCGGCCCAUAGGCCGGGCAAACGGGGCGCCCGCCCUGGGCCCCCGGAAGGCAGGGGCCCCAGCCCGAGAGGUAGUAUUGCUUCGUACGUGUAAGAAGCCCAAAAACAUAUCGAGAAAGCAGAGGGCGGAUUCAGCCGUGGGGCAAAACCCAUCGUCAAUCUUUCUCCUCGACCCCUCCACUUCGCAAGGUCCUGACUCCUAUAACAGCGCCGCCGCUCCGAUGCCUUACUGAUUCCAAGGUCGCCAUCGGCCAUUAAUGGAGAUUAAAGGCGAAAAUCCAUUCCCAAAUCGUCUCUCCUUCCUUUCUCAGUGUUCGUCUCGUUCCCCAACAAUCAGAUGUUGGAGAUGUGGAGACGGUGUUCUUCUAAUAUUAACUGGAUCUAAGUGUGAGAGAGUCCUCGGGAGUCAGGAGAUUAGAAGAACUGCAGAAUGGGGAAAUUAUUCAGUUCUUGGUGUCGUCUUCUCGUUCGUGCUGACUACUGCAACCUGCGGAUCUGGCAACCUACAUCCACAUGAAUACAUAUUUAGGCCACAGCUGAAUCCAUGGCGAAAUGCUUCCUGGUGCUCGUCUUCAUGGCAUUUCUCCUGCCGGCGGCCUACGCGAUGUGCCACCCUGACGACCUCCAAGCGCCGCGGGGCUUNNNNNNNNNNGCCAGGAAGGUACUUGGAUCUCUCAAAUAAUUCAUUUUGGUCAGUGAGGUACCCAAGGGUUUGACACUACUCAAGGGCCUCACCGUUGUCGAUCGUUCACUAGGUAUUGCUUUCACUAACUUGCUAUUGUAUGUGAAGAGCAAUAGAAGGACACUCCAACAACAACAAUCAAAUACCAUUACUGGCACCAACAAACAGUGUCAGAUCUGGGAGUGGCAAUAUUGUAUCUGGGAACGGCAACACUGUCGUAUCUGGGGACAACAAUAAUGUUUCUGGGAGCAACAACACAGUCACAUCUGGGAGCAGCAAUGUCAUAGUUGACAGCAACCAUGUCGUUACUGGGAGCAACAAUACUGUAUCGGGCAAUAACAAUAGGGUAACUGGGAACAAUAAUGUUGUAUCAGGGAGCAACCAAGUCGUGUCCGGGGACAACAAAGUCGUAACUGGCUAAUGAUCUGUCAGUGAAUUGAUUUCGGCUUCUCUGGUGCAUAGCUCAUACGUCCUUGCCAAGUUCAAUGUUGCUCACUAUUACUUGGUGGGCCCACUCGCGUUUGUAACUUCAUGGAUAUAGCAUCCUACCUACUUAAAAUAAUUUUUCCCUAAAAUAUCUAUAGAACUUUUUACAUAAUAAAUGCUGACAUGAACAGCAAUGGCGACUUGCAGCUUAUGUACAAGUUUUCAUCGUGGAUGUCUAGAUGUGUUUAUUUCAUCUAUUCUGUUAUCUGUAAUGUGUGAUGUUUUAGUAUAUAUGAAGAUUGGUCUAUGAAUUAUUACUGCUCAAUGUCAUCUAGCUAUACACUUCUCAAGUGAUGCAAUA